rnacentral:piRNA from 1 species
UGAUAUGGACAAAGAGAUAAUAAGUUUGAA